rnacentral:rRNA from 1 species
UGGGGAAUUUUGCGCAAUGGGGGAAACCCUGACGCAGCAACGCCGCGUGCGGGAUGAAGGCCUUCGGGUCGUAAACCGCUUUCAGCAGGGACGAACAUGACUGUACCUGCAGAAGAAGCCCCGGCUAACUACGUGCCAGCAGCCGCGGUAAUACGUAGGGGGCAAGCGUUAUCCGGAUUUAUUGGGCGUAAAGCGCGCGUAGGCGGCUUGUUAAGUCGGAUGUGAAAACCGGGGGCUCAACCCGCGGACUGCAUCUGAAACUGGCAGGCUUGAGUCUGGUAGAGGAGUGUGGAAUUCCUAGUGUAGCGGUGAAAUGCGCAGAUAUUAGGAGGAACACCAGUGGCGAAGGCGGCACUCUGGGCCACGACUGACGCUGAGGUGCGAAAGCUAGGGGAGGCAAACAGGAUUAGAUACCCUGGUAGUCCUAGCCGUAAACGAUGGGCACUAGGUGUGGGGGAUCAUCGACAUCUUCCGUGCCGAAGCUAACGCAUUAAGUCG